rnacentral:lncRNA from 1 species
UUGCAAAAUCUUUCUAGAGGAAACGAAUUUCUUGGGAUGUUUCAUUAUGCAGUUUUUCAGAUAAAUUGACUCGGCUAAGUAGCAAGCACUCAUGUCAAAUCAAACCAUUGAAUUAAUCUUUGUUUGCCAACUUCAGCAGCCCUACCAUAAAGGCUUCAACACUCUACAGAGAUCAAGAAGCGCUCUCCAGCUUGGAUCAAUCCUCUGUACAAGCGUGUGAAAGAGAUUAUGAGAGUUAUUCCUAUUAUGUCUUAUAUAUCUGAUCUUGUC